UUUGCAUACUGCUCAGUAACACGUGGAUAACCUGCCCUACACUGGGGGAUAAUCUCGGGAAACUGAGGAUAAUACCCCAUAGACCACUACGCCUGGAACGGUGAGUGGUUGAAAGCUCAGGCGGUGUAGGAUGGGUCUGCGGCGUAUCAGGUCGUAGGGGGUGUAAUGGACCUCCUAGCCAUCGACGCGUACGGGUUGUGGGAGCAAUAGCCCGGAGACGGAUUCUGAGACACGAAUCCGGACCCUACGGGGUGCAGCAGGCGCGAAAACUUCACACUGCAGGAAACUGUGAUGAGGGAACUCCAAGUGACUGCCCAAUGGGUAGCCUUUUCUUGAAUCUUAAUAGUUCUUGGAAUAAGGGCUGGGAAAGACCGGUGCCAGCCGCCGCGGUAAUACCGGCAGCUCAAGUGGUCGUCGCUUUUAUUGGGCCUAAAACGUCCGUAGCCUGUUUGGUAAAUCUGUGGGUAAAUCAACGAGCUUAACUCGUUGAAUUCUGCAGAGACUGCCAGACUAGGGACCGGGAGAGGUAUGAGGUACUCUGGGGGUAGGGGUAAAAUCCUGUCAUCCUCAGAGGACCACCUGUUGCGAAGGCGUCAUACUGGAACGGAUCCGACGGUCAGGGACGAAGCCUAGGGGCACGAACCGGAUUAGAUACCCGGGUAGUCCUAGGUGUAAACGCUGUGGAUUUUGGUGUGUGGGGUCCGCAAUGGGCCCCAUGUGCCGGAGUGAAGAUGUUAAAUCCACUGCCUGGGGAGUACGGUCGCAAGGCUGAAACUUAAAGGAAUUGGCGGGGGAGCACUGCAACGGGAGGAGCGUGCGGUUUAAUU
rnacentral:rRNA from 1 species